rnacentral:misc_RNA from 1 species
ACGCAGCCCGGCUUGAACGGAGCUCUUUUUGUGAGGAGGUACGACGAGCAAAAAAGCGGGAGUGGAAGACGGAUUAAGC